CUCUGAGAAGAACUCCUCAAGUUGAAGUCCGCUGCUCCAUCUCCGAUGCUGUGCCGUGGUUGUAAACAGAUGAAAGAGGCGACCAAGGCCAACAGCAUGGAUACUGGCUUUGUGGUGGGCGUCUGGAAUGGAAAGAGGAAUAGAUCAAGCCAUUCGAAGAUAAAAUGGAUGUUGUUUGAAGAAGGCGGUGGCUGUCCCAUCAUCCUGCACUCCAGGCUCGGGGAACAGUAAUUGGCGCCCGCAGAAAGAGAGGAGGGGCAAAGACAAGUUUCCCCUUCCGCUCACAGUGGGGCAUUGGACCCGCAAUGACUACAGAUGAA